rnacentral:rRNA from 1 species
UACAGAGGGUGCGAGCGUUGUCCGGAAUCACUGGGCGUAAAGGGCGCGUAGGCGGCUUGAUAAGCGUGCGGUGAAAGCCCGGGGCUCAACCCCGGGUCGGCCGUGCGAACUGUCGAGCUGGAGCACUGUAGAGGCAGGUGGAAUUCCGGGUGCAGCGGUGGAAUGCGUAGAGAUCCGGAAGAACACCGGUGGCGAAGGCGGCCUGCUGGGCAGUGGCUGACGCUGAGGCGCGACAGCGUGGGGAGCGAACAGG